rnacentral:lncRNA from 1 species
ACUGAGAAACAACAACAACAACAACAAAGAGUACGUACCAGUAACUCAACUCAAGGUUUUUCAAAAACAAUCCUCCGCGACCAUGAUCUGAACCGCAACAUUUGUCCACGAUCGUCAUUUGGGUCCUAAUAUCAAAGUUUGUUUAACUGUUUGCGACCACAAUUAGGAUUGUAUUAAUCGCAUUUGUCUGUAAUUUGUCAUCAUAUCAACAAAAAAAACCUGACAAAACAGCAACACGACGGAUAUUUAAUACCUUGACUCUCAACAAUCAGAUGGACAGGCUGAUAAAAGUUGAUCCAACAAACACGGUCACAAUAAGGAUGGAGCCAGGCCAAAAAUGUCAUGGCCAAAUAACCCUACGCAACGUCAUGUACACCAUGCCCGUAGCAUUC